rnacentral:rRNA from 1 species
UGGAUGGCGAGUUUGAUCCUGGCUCAGGAUAAACGCUGGCGGCGUGCCUAACACAUGCAAGUCGAACGUCCUGCAUUUCGGUGCAGGGAGUGGCGGACGGGUGAGUAUCACGUGGGUUAUCUACCUUCCGGUGAGGAAUACCGGCGA